AUUGAACGCUGGCGGCAGGCCUAACACAUGCAAGUCGAGCGGAUGAGAGGAGCUUGCUCCUCGAUUCAGCGGCGGACGGGUGAGGAAUGCCUAGGAAUCUGCCCAGUAGUGGGGGACAACGUUUCGAAAGGAACGCUAAUACCGCAUACGUCCUACGGGAGAAAGUGGGGGAUCUUCGGACCUCACGCUAUUGGAUGAGCCGAGGUCGGAUUAGCUAGUUGGUAGGGUAAAGGCCUACCAAGGCGACGAUCCGUAACUGGUCUGAGAGGAUGAUCAGUGACACUGGAACUGAGGCACGGUCCAGACUCCUACGGGAGGCAGCAGUGGGGAAUAUUGGACAAUGGGCGCAAGCCUGAUCCAGCCAUGCCGCGUGUGUGAAGAAGGCCCUCGGGUCGUAAAGCACUUUAAGUUGGGAGGAAGGGCUUACAGCGAAUACCUGUGAGUUUUGACGUUACCGACAGAAUAAGCACCGGCUAACUUCGUGCCAGCCGCCGCAGUAA
rnacentral:rRNA from 1 species